GUGUUUGCUUCAGCAGCACACAUACUAAAAUUGGAACGAUACAAAGAUUAGCAUGGCCUCUGUGCAAGGAUGACACACAAAUCUGUGAAGCAGUCCAUAUUAAA
ensembl:snRNA U6 U6 spliceosomal RNA